rnacentral:rRNA from 1 species
CCCUUAGAUGUCCUGGGCCGCACGCGCGUUACACUGAUGCAUUCAACGAGCUUAUAACCUUGGCCGAGAGGCCUGGGCAAUCUUGUUAACGUGCAUCGUGAUAGGGAUAGAUUAUUGAAAUUAUUAAUCUUGAACGAGGAAUUCCUAGUAAACGCAGAUCAUCAAUCUGCAUUGAUUACGUCCCUGCCCUCUGUACACACCGCCCGUCGCACCUACCGAUUGGAUGGUCCGGUGAAGCCUCGGGAUUGUGGUUCUUGCCGCUUUAUUGUGGCGUGACCGCGAGAACUUGUCUAAACCUUAUCAUCUAGAGGAAGGUGAAGUCGUAACA